GACAGAGGGUGCAAACGUUGUUCGGAAUUACUGGGCGUAAAGCGCGUGUAGGCGGCUCGAUAAGUCGGAUGUGAAAGCCCUGGGCUCAACCUAGGAAGUGCAUUCGAAACUGCUGAGCUUGAGUUCUGGAGAGGAAGGCGGAAUUCUCGGUGUAGAGGUGAAAUUCGUAGAUAUUCGCAAGAACACCGGUGGCGAAGGCGGCAUCCUGGACCAAUAUUGACGCUGAGGAGCGAAAGCCAGGGGAGCAAACGGG
rnacentral:rRNA from 1 species